UACGGGGGGGGCAAGCGUUGUUCGGAAUUACUGGGCGUAAAGAGCUCGUAGGCGGCCACUCAGGUCGAAUGUGAAACCUCGAGGCUCAACCUCGAGCCUGCAUUCGAUACUGGGCGGCUAGAGUCUGGUAGGGGGAUCUGGAAUUCCUGGUGUAGCGGUGGAAUGCGCAGAUAUCAGGAGGAACACCGGUGGCGAAGGCGGGUCUCUGGGCAACAACUGACGCUGAGGAGCGAAAGCGUGGGGAGCGAACAGG
rnacentral:rRNA from 1 species